AAUCUGAUGUGUACAUGAUCGUGCUAAUUUAGAAUCUUUAUUUUAACUAAACUCCCUAUCAAAAAUAAAAUUCCGACUAGUAAAUGCUGUAGAAGUACCCUAAAUUAAUCGCUAUUUUCAUUCGUAACUUGGUUGAAUUUGAUGCCUAAAAUUGUCAUUAUUUCUCUAAAUUAGAACUAUACACUAUUAUACUACGGUAAGCUAUCUAUAACACCUCAAAUUGUGCUAAAGAUAUAUUAUAUUGCUAUAUUAAUCCCAGCAGACAGAUAUCGAUGAAAAUUGGAUUGUUCCUUGUGAA